GGGCGCGUAGCUCAGUUGGUUAGAGCACUACCUUCACACGGUAGGGGUCCACGGUUCGAGUCCGUGCGCGCCCACCA
rnacentral:tRNA from 2 species